rnacentral:antisense_RNA from 1 species
CUUGACGGAACCGAGCCACAGCGGCUUCUCCGCGUCCCGGUCACGACCGUAGGUGGCCAGCAGGGCCUGCCCUC